GACAGAUGGGAGCUUGCUCCCUGAUGUUAGCGGCGGACGGGUGAGUAACACGUGGGUAACCUGCCUGUAAGACUGGGAUAACUCCGGGAAACCGGGGCUAAUACCGGAUGGUUGUUUGAACCGCAUGGUUCAGACAUAAAAGGUGGCUUCGGCUACCACUUACAGAUGGACCCGCGGCGCAUUAGCUAGUUGGUGAGGUAACGGCUCACCAAGGCGACGAUGCGUAGCCGACCUGAGAGGGUGAUCGGCCACACUGGGACUGAGACACGGCCCAGACUCCUACGGGAGGCAGCAGUAGGGAAUCUUCCGCAAUGGACGAAAGUCUGACGGAGCAACGCCGCGUGAGUGAUGAAGGUUUUCGGAUCGUAAAGCUCUGUUGUUAGGGAAGAACAAGUGCCGUUCAAAUAGGGCGGCACCUUGACGGUACCUAACCAGAAAGCCACGGCUAACUACGUGCCAGCAGCCGCGGUAAUACGUAGGUGGCAAGCGUUGUCCGGAAUUAUUGGGCGUAAAGGGCUCGCAGGCGGUUUCUUAAGUCUGAUGUGAAAGCCCCCGGCUCAACCGGGGAGGGUCAUUGGAAACUGGGGAACUUGAGUGCAGAAGAGGAGAGUGGAAUUCCACGUGUAGCGGUGAAAUGCGUAGAGAUGUGGAGGAACACCAGUGGCGAAGGCGACUCUCUGGUCUGUAACUGACGCUGAG
rnacentral:rRNA from 2 species